CAGCCGUAAACUAUGCGCGUUAGGUGUAUCGGUGACCACGAGUUACCGAGGUGCCGAAGGGAAACCGUGAAAUGUGCCGCCUGGGAAGUACGGUCGCAAGGCUGAAACUUAAAGGAAUUGGCGGGGGAGCACCACAACAGGUGGAGCCUGCGGUUUAAUUGGACUCAACGCCGGGAAGCUCACCGGAUAGGACAGCAGAAUGAUUGCCGGGCUGAAGACCCUGCAUGACUAGCUGAGAGGAGGUGCAUGGCGUAGACGUCU
rnacentral:rRNA from 1 species